GAUCCUGGCUUAGGAUGAACGCUAGCGGCAGGCUUAACACAUGCAAGUCGAGGGGCAUCGGGAGUAGCAAUACUUGCCGGCGACCGGCGCAAGGGUGCGUAACGCGUGAGCAACAUGCCCGUAUCAGGGGGAUAAUCCAUGGAAACGUGGUCUAAUACCCCAUAGUAAUUAUGUAAGGCAUCUUAUAUAAUUUAAAGCUUUGGUGGAUACGGAUUGGCUCGCGUGACAUUAGCUGGAUGGUAAGGUAACGGCUUACCAUGGCUACGAUGUCUAGGGGUUCUGAGAGGAAGGUCCCCCACACUGGAACUGAGACACGGUCCAGACUCCUACGGGAGGCAGCAGUGAGGAAUAUUGGUCAAUGGGCGGGAGCCUGAACCAGCCAAGUCGCGUGAAGGAAGAAGGAUCUAUGGUUCGUAAACUUCUUUGCAGGGGAAUAAAGUGCAGGACGUGUCCUGUUUUGUAUGUACCCUGAGAAUAAGGAUCGGCUAACUCCGUGCCAGCCGCAGC
rnacentral:rRNA from 1 species